UACGUUUGUAAAUUAGUUGUGACGUAUGUAAAGUAGUUUUAAGAAUUUUCCAUGAAUUGGAGAAUGCAAUUCAUAGAAAAUUCUUCGAUUGUUGCAUGGAGUGUGUUACGUUUGUAAAUAGUUGUGAACAUAUUGUCAGUUAAUUUUCUGUUUUGUACUGUGAUUUGUUCAUUUGCCCCUAAAUUUUAAUAUGCAUUUGUAGCGCUCCAAACAUUUCAGGAGCGAACCAGCACACAACACGCAAGCCGUCCCCUAGCACGGACAUCAAAUUGUAGACGGUCUUGUGUUGUUGCCCAAAUCAGGAGGCCCCUUUAGGAUUAGAAAUUCCUAGACCAAAACAAGCUAUGAAUGCCGCAACAGAUGCUGCGAACUAAAAGGCGAACUGCCAGAAAAAAUACGAUUACAGGAUUGACUGAUGGACCAAGAACAAAAAUGAAACCUCGUCAUCCUGGGAUUGGACUACGUUAUCUAUUUGGAUAACUGGGCACAAUUUAUGUUAUGUGUUGCAUGUUUGUGUUUUGUGCAUUUGUAAGGUUCCAUUUUGUUUUCGUAUCCAAGUUCCCAGACGUGGGGCCCGAUGCGGAAAAUAAAAUGCGCAUUUGUAGGGUUCUUUUAGCAGUUGUCUACAUUGUGGUAACCAUCGGGAGCACAAUGCAUUUGUAGUGUUUCGCAAAACUUUUUUUCCGUUACAUUGGCGCCCAACGUGGGGCGUUGUGCAUUUAUAAGGUUCCAAUGCAUUUUCCGUUACAUUGGCGCCCAACUAAAAAAACCCACGUUCAGUUUAAAGUUUAGUGUUUCUUUGUUGAUCUAUCUGGUUUAGUUUAGGUAAACUUAGAGUAGAUCAAAUAUGAGUGUCCGCAACAGUAAAGAUAGAGAAAGGCUAAGUACUUGGUUGAUGGCAGUUCUUUGGCCGUUGUUUAAUGGCGUUAGAUCAUACCCUUUGCUAGGAUUCGCUGGCGUAAUUAGUUUUAAGUUAGCCUGGUGGCAAUUUGUUUAAAGUUAGCCUGGUGGCAAUUUAACUCGCGGAGUUAUCUGGUAAGCGUUUGGCUUACGUAAUAUGGUUAGUCUGGUGACAAUUUCACGCUGAGGUCUGCUCAGCACCAAAAAAAAAAUGAUCAUCGCUGCCAUCAACCGACCACUUGGAAGGAUGAUAAAUAGGAGUUUUUUAGAAUUUUUCAAGAAUCGCGAUUUCGAUUCUUGAAAAAUUCUUCCGCUGUUGCUGGUGUUGUGUUACGUUUGUAAAUUAGUUGUGACGUAUGUAAAGUAGUUUUAAGAAUUUUCCAUGAAUUGGAGAAUGCAAUUCAUAGAAAAUUCUUCGAUUGUUGCAUGGAGUGUGUUACGUUUGUAAAUAGUUGUGAACAUAUUGUCAGUUAAUUUUCUGUUUUGUACUGUGAUUUGUUCAUUUGCCCCUAAAUUUUAAUAUGCAUUUGUAGCGCUCCAAACAUUUCAGGAGCGAACCAGCACAAAACACGCAAGCCGUCCCCUAACACGGACAUCAAAUUGUAGACGGUCUUGUGUUGUUGCCCAAAUCAGGAGGCCCCUUUAGGAUUAGAAAUUCCUAGACCAAAACAAGCUAUGAAUGCCGCAACAGAUGCUGCGAACUAAAAGGCGAACUGCCAGAAAAAAUACGAUUACAGGAUUGACUGAUGGACCAAGAACAAAAAUGAAACCUCGUCAUCCUGGGUUCGGACUUAGUUAUCUAUUUGGAUAACUGGGCACAAUUUAUGUUAUGUGUUGCAUGUUUGUGUUUUGUGCAUUUGUAAUGUUCCAUUUUAUUUUGCGUAUCUAAGUUCCCAGACGUGGGGCCCGAUACGGAAAAUAAAAUGUGCAUUUGUAAGGUUCCAAUUUAUUCGUUACAUUGGCGCCCAACGUGGGGCCUUGCGCAUUUAUAAGGUUCCAAUGUACUAUUCGUUACAUUGUUCCAUGCAACAAUCGAAGAAUUUUCCAUUAAUUGGAGAAUGCAAUCCAUGGAAAAUUCUUAAAACUACUUUACAUACGUCACAACUAAUUUACAAACGUAACACAGCUCUACCGUAGCGGAAGAAUUUUUCAUAAAUCGGUGAUCAAACGAUUUAUGAAAAAUUCACAAAAUCAUCACUCAUACUCCUAGGAUGAUGGUCAGAGACAAGUCGGUCAACCUAACUCUUGAGCAGACCUCAAGUUACAUCGUUUCCUCAACUAAACCCAAACUCAUACGCAAGCCUUGGUCGCUUGCCAAAUCUUCUCUAUCCUCCAAACUGCAUAAUCUUAAUGCUAAACUAAACUUCACGCCAGCUGCGCCUGGCAAAAUCUUCGACCUCACAAAUCGUCUCUGACCAAUGUCCUUGUCCAGCUUCCACGAAUCCUACGGCAAAGCACUCAAAUCGGAUUCUAGCCUAUUGUAUUGACUAAAAUAGGCUUAAUCGCACACAAAACAUUAAGAAGCUAUGUUUACAGACUAUCUACAAGGACAAAAUUGGUUUGUUUUGGUGUGUGCAUAUUCUGAGAAAAGAAAAAUUUACUAAUCUAAAUCGUCAUGAGCCCGGGAAAUAGGGUUUUACCGCGCCCCUGGUCGCGUUACUUUUGGGAUGAAGAUUUCAUGACGACCCCCAGAUCUUUAACCCUUGGCCACGCAUUCGAAUUGACUGGAAACACUUGAGGGUUCGUGUGCACCAUCCAGUCGUGAUGUGCUUGGAUUGCCGAGAUCGUGUUCUCUUCCUUCGUAGUGGUGCCACUCAUAGCUCUGUGUAGUGAGGAUGGUCGAAUUCUUGAUGAUGGGCUCGAUUUGUCUCGAUCGGCUAACGGCAUGACCAUUUGGUGUGUUUCGGUGUGAGGGUUCCUCGGGGUGUUGUUGCGCUUCAUUCGUUGUCUGGAUCGUUUGGUAUCUGGAGCCUCCCUACUCACGACGGUUUUCAGGGUCCCAGUCUCCCUCGCCCGCUGUAGGCUAUAUGCUGCGCUCUUCGUGGUGGUAUUUGGAGCCUCCCUACUCACUGCUGUUUUCAGGGUCCCAAUCUCCCUCGCCCGCUGUAGGCUGUUCGUUUCCGCAUUCUUCGUCCUGGUAUUUGGAGCCUCCCUACUCACUGCUGUUUUCAGGGUCCCAAUCUCCCUUGCCCGCUGUAGGCUGGUGCUUGCUUUGCUCUGUGUUCUGGUAUUUGGAGCCUCCCUACUCAACGAUGGUUUUCGGGGUUCCAAUCUCCCUUGCCCGCUGUGGGCUGACGGUUGCGGCGCUCUUUGACAUGGUAUCUGGAGCCUCCCUACUCACUGCUGUUUUCAGGGUCCCAGUCUCCCUCGCCUUCAGUAGGCUGUCGAUUCGUCCUGGUGUUUGGCGUGUCUUCGUCCUGGUAUUUGGAGCCUCCUUACUCGCUGUUGUUUUCAGGGUUCCAAUUUCCCGCGCCCGCUGUAGGCUUCUUGCUACAUCCUCCUGCUCUUCCAAAGCUCUCCAGUUGCUGUCUCCCUGCGCCUGAUAGUGGCCGUAAGCUUCGACUCCGUGCCGAACCGAUGUUUGGUCGUCGAUCUCCGGGUCUCCACUCCUCCUAUCAGAGAAUACAUCUGGUGCCUUGACGAGAAACCUGCGUCCCGUUUCCAGAAUCACAGGGUGCACUUUCUCCCGCUUGGCGAACGGCUCACGGUACACCUCCUGGCGCGAUGGAAGUGUUCGGGUACCGCAUGUUGAUUCUCCAUUUGCUACUGUUCGGCCUUCUGACGGAUCGGGUGAUGGAAUCUCAAAUCGUUCAUUGCUUCCGACGAAGAUCGUGGUCUACACAAAGCUGGCUGAUUUGUCGAGGUGGAGAGGUAGUCGUUAAGAAGUUAUUGCUCAUCACACCUGACUUUCUACCAUUUUCCCGUUUGUUACGUGUUUUUGGAGCGUGGUACUCAUGGUUGACAGGCAUUGCCUGCGGACAUAGCUUUAACAUUGUGGAACCUCGUACGGCUGUACGGAAAUCCUUGCUGUCGACUCACAAUCGGUGUUGCUGUGGUGGAGCAGUAUUGCGACGGCUUCUCACCCUCAGCUCUCGUGGUCAAAUCUCCCAGUGAUUGGUGUUUCUGCUUGCUUGGCUGCUUCGUGGUUGACAGGCACCGCCUGUGUACAUAGCUUGAACAGCCCAGAAUCUCGCUGCUGGGAACGAAGAUUCCAGUACAUGUAGUCGUCAAAUCGCUGUACGGAAGUUCAGAAUCCGGUUGGAACUUGUCUGCCCUCCUGUUCGCUGUAAUGAUGCCCAUUUCUGGUGUUUUCUUCAGCGUUCGCUUCGUCGUUCACAGGCACCGCCUGUUUGCAUAGCUUGCACUUAUUCUUAAGCGGAUAACUUAAUAAAGGGUGAUCAGCUUUGUAAGAUGCGAAUAGUAAACAGGGGUAUACCACAAAAGUUCAACUCACUGGACGCAGUGGUUCAACUCCCCCCAACAAAAAAAAAACUAUAGAACAUGUCUUUAAGAGAUUUUGUUAGCUUACAAAGCAAGAAAUGUGAUAUAGAUGCACAACUCAAGUCACUUUGAUGAAAUCCUUUUCAUUUAUUAUAACGCACGUGCCACUCUUAUUUUCUUAGCAACACACUUGCUGCUGUCACGCCACACUUACUUACUGUAGGUAAAGAUGCAACGAUGAAGUGCCCGGCCAAUCCUUCAAGUUUGCUUUCCGAAAACUGUACUACCGCACUUAAAUUAUAAACAACUGCAUACUUUUGUUUGGUUUACCACAUUUUUACAGUCAGUUGGGGAAACACCGGUCAUCGAAUUUUUAACUUAUCAAACUUUUGAUAUCUUUGGAUGUUAACACUUUCACAUUGAUGAAACAGUAAUUUGAUUCUAACCCAAAAUUCACAUGCUGUUUCUACUAAUUGAAACAUGAAAGCGAAUUCGCAUUUUACAAUGCGUGUUGUGAGUGCAGAGAAAGGGUAGCAAAACUUGUUCAACUGAACAGAAACUGGAUUAUGAGAUGAAUUAUGAAAGUUGAAAAUAAAAGCCGACACAAAUAAAAGAAAGUUAGAAUAAAGCAAACGUUCUAGAGAAUAUUAAUACGUGGGUAUCUAGUCACCGACUGUAAAAAGUGAAAAAGGUUAGAUAUUGGGUAAUACACACCGUUUUUGUUCCUGAUUGCUGUAUAACCGUUCCGAAAAACUAAGAUGGCAAGUGCAACUCGUGGGGUGCAGUUUCAACAAAUAUAGCCUUGAAAAGACAGAAGAUCUCCUAUUCCCUCGGUGUCCAUUAAUCCUGAAUCCUAACGAGUUAAGCAAAACCAGGUGCCAGGGGGGCUUCCAAUUCCAAACUACUAUUGAGAUCAAGCAAAUGAUGUCCCUCGGAGUCCAUUCCUUCCGUCCUCUCUCGCUUCAUCCAACUCCUCCAUCCUUGUCCAAAUCGAUUUUCCUCCAUAUGCUUUAGACAUUUCCGCAUGAAGUUGUAAUAAAGUUCAAAAAGAACCGAUUCAUGCCGGCAGAUAGUUCCAUUGAUACAAUCUUUUUCUAGGAAUUUGACAGCAAAACUUUCCGUAAAAAGUAUAUAUUUUCACCACUUGUAUUUAAAGAUAAUUUGUGAAAUAUAAGGGGCUAGCAAAUAUACUUUUCAUUGGAAGACAUUGUUGUAAUAUUUCCAAUAAAUCGAUUGAGUCAAUGAAAAUUUGCAGCGGAAUUCGGUACAGGUAAAAUUGAGAAAAACGGAGCUCGUAACAUCCGUAUUGUCCAAGUUGAUCCAACAAUGAAUUGUUCGGGUUUGUUGUGACAAUUUUCGGCAUGCGUUCCUCAAAAAUCCCAAACAUAGCGAUUGCGGGUUACAUUUUCCUAUCCCCAAAAGAUCCAGCGUUGCGUUCCACGUAAUUGAAUCCUCCUUCUGUAAUUGUCUUCAAAGAUCCAUUCCAUGAGCGAUCAUGAGCAGCGCUUGUCUCUUGAUAUCCUUUUCAAUUCAUCCAGUGUGUGAAAAGUCAUUUUCUUAUUCUCUGGAAAAGGCGUUCCACUUAGGUUCAAAUGAUAUCGCUUUUAUCGUUUGUGAUUUUGCUUCUACGCACACCGCAAUUAUACAACUUCUACAACAAUUCAUUUAAUUUAGAAAAGUUUUAAAAUGAAAGCCUCACACCAAGCAUUCAAUGUGCAUAGUUGCUUUCAAAUACGACAAAUCGUCAACGACGUAUCGAAGAUAGUUCCUGUCGUCCUGUAAUCCCUGAGUUCGAUCCUUGCAGUGAGACGGCGACGAAGCGUCACAACUUCCAUUUCCCGCAAGUCAUGAAUCCUAAUCCUUUUCCUCUGUCAGCAGCGCUUGUGCUUAGUCCAAUCAAGGUGCAUCUUAUUAUUGAAUGAGCGAAAGGGAAUCCGGUCAUAACAGAGAAAUGUCCUUCGAAAAACUCCAGGGAUCCUGUGUUUUUUCUCAAGUCCAAGCAGGAGACAAAACCAUCGAGUCACUUUUCCGUAACCGCGAGAUAGGUCCUUGUGGCACAACAGUACAAGCAAGGAAAGAAUCCUGUUUGUCCUGUUCGGAGGAAAAAGAAACAGGCUUUAGAAUGUAGACGUGAUGAGACAGCGAUAAAUUGUUUGUGAAUAUAAUUGAUAGUGAAUGUAAUCCAUCCAUGUUUCUGAUAGAGAUCUUCAUGUCGCAUUUCACAGGCUAGAAGAAGAGACGAAAACUUUGAAAUUAUUUAAACCUUCCAAACUAAUAUUCAUUUGAGACAACAUUUUCACGAUUUGUUAAAAUAUAACCUCUGUUUGAUUGACGAAAGUGAAGCCUAGAUGGUCGAUAGAUUGUUCAAGCACUUAUUGUUUUCCUUAUACAUUGGCUGGGUUUCAUACAGUAUUGUAGUAAAAUGUUACGAAUAAAAUGAUUGAUCGCGUUAAUAGAUUUCCCUGUCGCGAGAAGUGUUACCCUCUCAAGGAAUGUACUUAAAAUGAUUAAAAUAUCCCUACAUUUACAAUAGGACUGCCGCAUUUGCAUCUUUCGCAAAUCGAGCAGCUCUCGGUAGAUUGUGUGUU